CCUACGGGAGGCAGCAGUGAGGAAUAUUGGUCAAUGGCCGGAAGGCUGAACCAGCCAUGCCGCGUGAAGGUCAGUGCCCUAUGGGCGUUAAACUUCUUUUGUGCGGGAGCAAUAAUGGUCACGUGUGGCCAGACGAGAGUACCGUACGAAUAAGCAUCGGCGCACUCCGUUCCAGCAGCCGCGGUAAUACGGGGGAGGCAAGCGUUAUCCGGGUUUUUUGGGUUUAAAGGGUGCGUAGGCUGUGAGGUAAGUCAGCGGUGAAAUGCCCCCGCGCAACGGGGUGAAGUGCCAUUGAUACUGGCUUGCUGGAAUGCGGAUGAGGUGGGAGGAAUGUGUGGUGUAGCGGUGAAAUGCAUAGAUAGCACGCAGAACACCGAUUGCGAAGGCAUCUCACGGAUCCGCGAUUGACGCUGAUGCACGAAAGCGUGGGUAUCAAACAGGAUUAGAUACCCGGGUAGUC
rnacentral:rRNA from 1 species